AAAAAUAGAAACGGGGUUGGAUCGUGAUCCAGAAAUAGAUAAGGGGCAUAACUCCUAUAAAAGGCUCACCAUUCAAGAGUACAGUGUGUGCACGGUGUGAAGAGGAGGGAAGCUUCGGCUGCUUCUUUAUGGAGGAAAAAGAUGAAGAUUCUUCCUCUUUUUAUGUGGGUCCUUUUUUUGUGUGUGCAAGGCAACGUUUGGUGUCGGUUGAGGAGGCUCCGCUGUCAUGGUUCUUCAUAUCAGACACACACACACACACACACACACACACACACACACACUCCGCUGGGAAUCCACAGCAGUGUCCAAUCCACAGAGAGGUCAAGAGGAGGAAUCCACACAGUGAAUCGGGAAGUAAACAAGGUUUUCUCGUCAUGUUGAGUAACAUCAGCUGCUGACAUGCUUGUGCAGCACAGACGUGACCCCCAUCCUCCUCACUUCAUUUCAUUUAUGUCUUGUGUGUGACCCUUUGAUUUUAAUUCUCCUUUUUCUCAUUCUUCUUAUUUUGCAGCCGAUACAAGAAUCUUUAUUUUGUCAACUCAACUUUUCCUGCUUUUGAAACAGUGUGUAGGUUAUCGGCUUCCCCAGCCGUAUUAUCUGCAAUAAAAAGGCACUUAUGUGCACUUGUACUUAUUUUAAGCUGAGGGCGAGCUCACAUCUUAAUAGUUACCAACCAUGCAAGUAAUUUCAUUUCCUCCUUUGCAGGCUCAGCUCUGAAAACAGAGCUCAAGUGUCACCGCAUGACAUCAUGUUGACUCUGAAACAUUCAUAAUAUUUUAAUGGGCAAACACUUCAGCUGCCAGCACUCAUGGUAACUUUAAAAGCCUCACGCUGUCGUAGGAAAACCAGCUGUUUGAUCAAAUCUCUGCAGAGUCUUCAAGUCCUCAGAUUAUUGCUAAUGUUGUUAAUAAAAAUUAAUAGACCUCAACAUCCGUCAGAAAAUCUGAAGUGACACGUCCUCUUUCUUGCAAAAAUCUUCAGAGUGACUGUUGAAGGGAUCAUUUCAGUUUCACAAAUUGAAAUGUUAUUGACAUGAAUGACGGGCCCCUGCAUUAAAUCUUAAAUUGGCAUUUUGGAAUAUUUCCUAUGGAAGCACCGGUUUAGGAGCCCAAGGCCCUCGCGUCCUGGGGUCUCACCCACACACGAGCCCAUAGUGAACCCCUCUCAGCAGCUCCACUCCUGGUUUGAUGCUGAGCUCCUUCUCACUGCAGUUUCCCCUUCAGGCCAUCUUUACUUUAAUCAGCUCACCUGCUUAAAGGAGGUCAGGAUACACACACUGGUUAGAAGACAGGCUGUUUCUGUAGCCCUCCUUUAUUUUUUUGGAAACAAUAACAUGGAAAAGACAAAUAAUGAAUGUAAAAAAGGUAAUGAGCUGUCCACAGUGAAUCCACCACUUUAAAAUCAUCUCAGAAUUUAUUUUACAGAGAUUUAUUGGGAGUUUAGAUCCACGGAGUAAAGAUGUUGUGUCCUUUUCUUUCUACAGGUUCUGUUUUAUGAGUCAUUUUUAAUUUAUUUGGCCUUGUAGUGUAAAUCAGACAGUGAUUUGGGUUUUAAAUACAUUUUUGCAUUUUCAAUUGUGAAUGUAAUGUGAUUGGGACCCGACAAACACUUUAUGUGGAGCUCGACAAAAAGUUACAUUACAUGGAAAUAAUGUUUAGAACAUGUCAUCUCCUUUUUUUCCUUGAUUUUCUGUGUCAUUUAUGAAUUUUUUUCUGUGGUGACAAUAGUACAACUGCUUAGUUUUGACAGUGGAGAUAUUUUAAUUGAGUGUGUGUGUAUGAAGAUACUGUGCAUGUAUGAUAUAGGUGUGUGUGUGUGUUUGUGUUAUUUUUAAGUUACAAUCCAAAUAAUUACAGGUGUACAGGUGAUUAGUGAAGUCACAGAGUAAGUUGUGUUUCCUUGUACGUUCUUGAUAAAGCCUGACAGUGUGUGUGUGUGUGUGUGUGUGUGUGUGUGUGUGUGUGUGUGUGUGUGUGUGUGUGUGUGUGUGUGUGUGUGUGUGUGUGUGUGUGUGUCACACUCUGUUCACCUUUUAUUUUAGACCUUUCUUUCUUCUUCUCCCUGUUUGUUGAAAUGUAUUUCAUGUACUUAUUGUACAUGAAAUAAAUAGAUCAAAAACACUUCAGGUUCUUUUUCAUUUCAUAUCAUGACGUCUUAUUCUGUCUUACGACCCCCCCCCCCUUCCGUCGAAAUAUGGCAUGAUAUCUUUGCAGUAAGUGAUAAACCAAAUUAAAUAUAAAAAUCUCUCUGUCAUAUGCUUUGAAUGUCUGAAUGUAGUUUUGAUAGAUUGAUCUCACUUCCUGUGAUUAUGAUUUAUUCAGUCAGUUUAGUUUAUUAUUAACUGUGUUUUGUUUCAGCAGGUUCUAUGUUUUAAUUUUAUGAUACUUUGGACAUUUUGCAGCAGACUUGAUUUAUAAUAAAGAUAGUAUGAACUUAACGAAUCCUUAUUGAUUUUACAUGUGUACCUGUAGUAAAUGACACCAGAGCAUUAUAGGCUGUAGUGUUUCAAAAAACGUUUAUAUAUCUAAUUUUCACCUUUGUUUCAGUUGAUGUACAAGUUCUCAUUCUGUGUCAAAGUUUGUUAUGAUCAGUUUGCAAUUUUCACAUUUUCAUCUAAAAUGAUUUAGUUUUUUACAUCUAGUCUGUUUGACACACAAUUGUAAUAUCUGCUCUAUGCGGCACUGUCUCUGUCUUCCUCUGUAUGAUGUGCACAAGUGGGAAAAUAAGAAUAAAGAUCAACUUAAAAUUACUGCUUCUCUUAACAAUAAAAACGUGGAAAUAAACAUAUAAAAACAAA